GGCACUUAACUUCUACCAGGCCAUAGGAAGGUUCUUCAUUUGGGUGCACCACUUUGCCAUCUGGACUUGCACUAAGAAACGAUGCAUUGCUUUGGUGUGGGGGGCACCUUUAAUGAUCCGGCCAGCCCGUGUCAUUGCAGUGGAUUCGGACCUCACAUGAGCUGCUUCAUAGAACUUGCUUGCUAUGUCACCUCCAGACUCUGCAUAUGCAGGAGUUCAGCGCAGCUGCCAGCGACGAAAUUAUAUGGUGGAAGCUUGUAUUGUGGGACAGAAGACACCAUGGUUAGAGCAGACAUUCCAUCAACUAUCUUCGCUAUCAGUGGUUGUGGACAACGGGAAAUGAGGGAUGCUGCUCCAGCAAUGACAUCAUUGUCAGGUAAAGGUUCUAAAAAAAGUUCAUGCCUCAGUGUUUUAAUUGUUACCUAAUGUGAAAAUGUGUUUUAUUAGUAUUUGGAUAUCGCCUCCAUAUGCUUUGUACAGAGUAGACUGCACAGAGCUCCUACCAGAGGCUUUCGGUUUGCGCACCACAAGCUCAUCGACUGGUUUGGGAGUGAUGCACUGACAAAACAUGUAUAUCUUGCACUAGAUUGCACUCUGAUUUGCACAUUAUGCAUUUUAAAUUAAUUUUAUUUGUUAAUGGUUGGCAAAUUAAAAUUGUUAAAAACUGACGAAUGAGGUUUCUGUCUUUAUUUAUUUAUAUUUACCUGGGUUCGGA
rnacentral:lncRNA from 1 species